rnacentral:rRNA from 1 species
GACGAACGCUGGCGGCGUGCCUAAUACAUGCAAGUCGAACGAGGGGCGGACGGGUGAGUAAUGUCUGGGAAACGGCUCGAUUGAGGUGGGUAACUCCGGGAAACGGUAGCUAAUACCGCAUAUCAUCGGUGGUGCCGAGAUGGGAUUAGCUAGUGGGUGGGGUAACGGCUACCCUAGGCGACGAUCCCUAGCUGGUCUGAGAGGAUGACCAGCCACACUGGAACUGAGACACGGUCCAGACUCCUACGGGAGGCAGCAGUGGGGAAUAUUGCACAAUGGGCGCAAGCCUGAUACAGCCAUGCCGCGUGUGUGAAGAAGGCCUUCGGGUUGUAAAGUACUUUCAGCGGGGAGGCGUUACUCGCAGAAGAAGCACCGGCUAACUCCGUGCCAGCAGCCGCGGUAAUUC